rnacentral:rRNA from 1 species
AGCUCCAAUAGCGUAUAUUAAAGUUGUUGCAGUUAAAAAGCUCGUAGUUGGAUUUCUGGUGUCUUUUUGCGUUUCCUUCUUUGCCAGCGAAAUGCUGGUGUUGGUCGCAAUGGAUAUCUUCUUUCCCUACUAAUUCGUCGCUGAAUCAUUAGUUUGACUCGGUGGUGAAUGGGGAUCAUUUACUGUGAAAAAAUUAGAGUGUUCAAAGCAAGUAUUAUUUCUUGAAUACAUUAGCAUGGAAUAAUAAGAUAGGACUCGGGUAAUAUUUUGUUGGUUUGCAUAUCUGGGUAAUGAUUAAUAGGAACAUAUUGGGGAUAUCUGUAUUUUUUAGUCAGAGGUGAAAUUCUUGGAUUUAAGAAAGACAAACUACAGCGAAAGCAUUUAUCAAGGAUGUUUUCAU